GUGCCCGUAGCUCAGCUGGAUAGAGUGUCUGACUACGAAUCAGAAGGUCGGGGGUUCGAGUCCCUCCGGGCACG
rnacentral:tRNA from 1 species